AUUGAACGCUGGCGGCAGGCCUAACACAUGCAAGUCGAACGAGUGGCGGACGGGUGAGUAAUGUCUGGGAAACUGCCCGAUGGAGGGGGAUAACUACUGGAAACGGUAGCUAAUACCGCAUACCAUCGGAUGUGCCCAGAUGGGCUUAGCUAGUCGGUGGGGUAAAGGCUCACCUAGGCGACGAUCCCUAGCUGGUCUGAGAGGAUGACCAGCCACACUGGAACUGAGACACGGUCCAGACUCCUACGGGAGGCAGCAGUGGGGAAUAUUGCACAAUGGGCGCAAGCCUGAGGCAGCCAUGCCGCGUGUAUGAAGAAGGCCUUCGGGUUGUAAAGUACUUUCAGCGGGGAGGCGUUACCAGCAGAAGAAGCACCGGCUAACUCCGUGCCAGCAGCCGCGGUAAUAC
rnacentral:rRNA from 1 species